UACGUAGGGGGCAAGCGUUGUCCGGAUUUAUUGGGCGUAAAGCGCUCGCAGGUGGUCCGUCGCGUCGUGCGUGAAAGACCCCGGCUCAACUGGGGAGGGUCGUGCGAUACGGGCGGACUGGAGGCCAGUAGGGGGAUGCGGAAUUCCGGGUGUAGUGGUGGAAUGCGUAGAGAUCCGGAGGAACACCAGCGGCGAAGGCGGAUUCGUCUGGGACGGUACGUGGACGCUGAGACGCGAAAGCGUGGGAGCGAACGAGGAUUG
rnacentral:rRNA from 1 species